AGGCAGCCUCUUUUACUAAGAAAGAUAGAAAAGAAGGUGUUUAUCUGCUCGUAAAUUAUACCACACAGCUGUUGCUCUUCAGAUUUGCUGAGAUUUUUAUUAGUCUUUGAAGCUGGUCUAGUAAGCAUCAGUACAUU
rfam:Daucus carota subsp. sativus cultivar DH1 chromosome 6, whole genome shotgun sequence.